rnacentral:piRNA from 1 species
AUACUACUCAGGAAAAAAAGAAC